rnacentral:rRNA from 1 species
GUUUGAUCAUGGCUCAGGAUGAACGCUAGCGGCAGGCUCAACACAUGCAAGUCGAGGGGUAUAGUAGCAAUACUAGAGACCGGCGCACGGGUGCGUAACGCGUAUGCAACCUACCUUUUACAGGGGAAUAGCCCAGAGAAAUUUGGAUUAAUGCCCCAUGGUAUUAUUAAGUGGCAUCAUUUAAUAAUUAAAGUUCCANCGGUAAAAGAUGGGCAUGCGUCCUAUUAGCUAGAUGGUAAGGUAACGGCUUACCAUGGCUACGAUAGGUAGGGGUCCUGAGAGGGAGAUCCCCCACACUGGUACUGAGACACGGACCAGACUCCUACGGGAGGCAGCAGUGAGGAAUAUUGGACAAUGGGCGCAAGCCUGAUCCAGCCAUGCCGCGUGCAGGAAGAAGCAUUUAUGGUGUGUAAACUGCUUUUGUACAGGAAGAGACACUCCCUCGUGAGGGAGCUUGACGGUACUGUAAGAAUAAGGAUCGGCUAACUCCGUGCCAGCAGCCGCGGUAAUACGGAGGAUCCAAGCGUUAUCCGGAAUCAUUGGGUUUAAAGGGUCCGUAGGCGGUUUAGUAAGUCAGUGGUGAAAGCCCAUCGCUCAACGGUGGAACGGCCAUUGAUACUGCUAGACCUGAAUAUUG